GCCCUGGUAGCUCAAUGGCAGAGCGCCUGUCUUGUAAACAGGAGGUUGAGGGUUCAAUUCCCUCUCAGGGCU
rnacentral:tRNA from 3 species